rnacentral:rRNA from 1 species
UGAGGAAUAUUGGUCAAUGGGCGCGAGCCUGAACCAGCCAAGUAGCGUGAAGGAUGAAGGUCCUAUGGAUUGUAAACUUCUUUUAUAGCAGAAUAAAGUGACCCACGUGUGGGUUUUUGUAUGUAUGCUAUGAAUAAGGAUCGGCUAACUCCGUGCCAGCAGCCGCGGUAAUACGGAGGAUCCGAGCGUUAUCCGGCUUUAUUGGGUUUAAAGGGUGCGUAGGCGGAAAGAUAAGUCAGCCUGUGAAAGUUUGCGGCUCAACCGUAAAAUUGCAGUUGAUACUGUUUUUCUUGAGUGUACAUAAGGUAGGCUGAAUUCGUGGUGUAGCGGUGAAAUGCCUAGAUAUCACGAAGAACUCCGAUUGCGAAGGCAGCUUACCGGGGUACAACUGACGCUGAUGCACGAAAGUGUGGGUAUCAAACA